rnacentral:rRNA from 1 species
UAGGGAAUCUUCGGCAAUGGACGAAAGUCUGACCGAGCAACGCCGCGUGAGUGAAGAAGGUUUUCGGAUCGUAAAACUCUGUUGGUAGAGAGGAACGUUGGUGUGAGUGGAAAGCUCAUCAAGUGACGGUAACUACCCAGAAAGGGACGGCUAACUACGUGCAG